rnacentral:rRNA from 1 species
AAACCGUUCAGGGGUAAACCUGAGAAACCCGAAAGUUCGAAAGGAGAGAUUCAUCGCGACUCGCGUUUGUCGUCGAGUUCGUGUACGGACGUCACUGUGCGCAAGCAUAACGUCGACGCCGAACGCGUUCUCGUUAUCGACACGCGAUCGCGUGCACUUCUCUCCCUGUAGGACGUCGCGACCCGUUGGGUGUCGGUCUACGGACGAUAGUGAAGACCGCGCGACGAACGUAAUUUUUUAAUUGCGUUUUCGUUUGUGCGGGCCUGUCGCUCCCGGCCGACUCGCUCGACGGUAAUCGAAAAGGGCGCGGGGCCGCAACUUAGUUUGCGUUCGACCCGUCGCAAGCGACGUUCGGUAAUUCGGUGCAGUCCAGCGACCUCCGGUUGCCGGUCCCGAAUCCGAACUACUGUUAGCGACGUGGUUCUCGGACAGACUCCGUACACACGCCCGUCGGCGACGAUUACGUUUUGGGUACUUUCAGGACCCGUCUUGAAACACGGACCAAGGAGUCUAGCAUGCACGCAAGUCUUAGGGACCAGUCUCGCGACGAAUCCUGAAGGCGCAAUGAAAGUGAAGGUCCGCCCUCUGGCGCGCGAUCUAGGGAAGAUGAGAAGCCCUUCCACAGGCGACUCCGCAUUCCCGGGGCGUCUCAAUCUCAACGCGAGAUAAGGCGCACCCAGAGCGUGCACGCU